rnacentral:rRNA from 1 species
CGGAUGAAGGGUGCCCGGGACCCGGUCUUCUCCCUCACGGGAACACUUUUUUCUAAGGUGACCUCGGAUCAGGUACGAUUAGGAAGGCGGA